ACCUAAAACCCCAAAACUUAACAUGCCCAAUCUGUGUCGAAAAAUGUUUCAAUAAUGGUUCUGUUCCGCAAGUUCCUAAAACAAAUACUCGUCGACAACACCCAAACCAAAACAAAAGCCCGAACCUUUUUCACCUCAACCUCAACCGCAACCGCAUUCCCAUGGUGCGCGCCUCACCAUAACAACCGCCUCUUCCGGUCCCCAGGCCCAGGCCCUCUCUUCCUCGCUCGGCCUCCAUGGAAACUCUCUCAGUCCGCCACCCCUCUCUAUUCGCACGGAAACGCCUUCAAUUUGCUUCGCUCCACAGCCCCUCUC
rnacentral:misc_RNA from 1 species